GCUGAUCUUUAAUUUACUUUCUCCAUUUUACUAAAUUAUACCCUUACCCAACAUUCUGAAUAUUGAUGCAGACUUAAUAUUUAAAAAAGCUGAAUGACAAAAUAAUCCAUAUAACCGACCUUUAACUAAGUUGAAUUUCUACAGUUUUGGGAACCACUGAAAAUGGAGAUCUUACACUUCACUCACCAAUUUGCAAAUCAACCACUUGAAUUACAGAAAUACAUCAAAUAUGAUACAACAAUACAAUUAAUAGAAUGUUAUUUUCUAUGAUACAAGUCUUUCGUUCCAACAAUAUAUCCUUUGCUGCUUUCAGCAGAUGUUUCAUUUCCUGUGGAACAGAUUGUACCCUUUUUACAUUCACCUAUAUCCAAGCCUGUUACCUGAUAAAACUUGCGUACAAUGUUGCGGCUAAUGUAAGAAGAACUGUUCUACUCACACUCUGAAGUGUUGGUGCACUUGAAAACUUGAAUCUCUGAGCCUGGUCCCUGCGAAAAAAGAGUAAAAGGAAGGAAUUGUAACGGAGUAUUGACAAACCAAAGUUCAAACGGUAAUGCAUGAUUCCAUAUGUUGCAAAGUUUCAAGUACUUAGUAAGAUAUUCCAAAGAUUUGCAGAAAAUAAUUUAAGCAAUUGGAGGUAAAACUUCAGCCAGAAUCAAAAUAAAAAAUGUGGGCUUCGACUGAAAAUCAUCUUUAAGAGUACGUUAACAAGAGUGAUCUACAACAGUUCUGCUUCUGAAAUCUCACUUCUGUAAGGAUGAUAAUAGGCCACAAUAUAUGGCAUUAUCAGGCAAAGAAACCUCAGAUGUGUCGAUCUCUGGAUUUACAACACUCAUAUAAACCUCCUGGCCCAGAUACCAUGAGUUGAGAUUUUCUGCUCGGAGAUUCCAAAUGCCAGCAUUGUCAAGAGAAACUAAGAUGGCAGUCCAAGCUCCAGGAAAGACCUGUAAUCAAAGGAGAAUAAGAAGUUAUUAUAAAACUGAUGGGGCUAAAUUCCUUUCUGUGUGAAUCAUAAUGCAUUUCCUGUAACUGUCUUCAUACCCAUAGCAAAUAAUAGCAAGGGCAGUAAUAGGAAAAGCCAGUGCACCGAAAUUUGUUUGAAUCCUUUCCCUCUCACUUCCACAAAUCUGUAUAGUGCAGCGAGCAACACCAUCCCAUUUGUUGUAUGUCCCUCUGCUAUUCUCUGUCCACACUCCAAAGUCCAUACCCACAACAAAAAAUGCAUAUCCAUCCAUAUGGUAGCUCUGGACAGUGGUAUCAUUAUUCUGAAAGAUUAUUUCCAUAAAACCUUUGAAAGUGCCAUUAAUUAGAGAUGUAUCAAAUUUUGGAGGUCUGUUCAUUGGUCUAUUUGGGAAGUCAAGCUUGUAGACACCUGAAAUGUUGUAUUUCUGAGCAAGCAUCAGGGGUGUGGGAGGUGGUAAGUAUGAAAUGCCAUUAAGGGUAGUACGCCACUUCCCAUCAAUAAGCUCAGCAGGUCUAUUGAGAAUCACAUAUACAUCUGUCACAGUAAUAUCACCAUAUUUGAAAGACCCCUGUGGAUUUGGACGAGCAGCACCAGCUGAGACAUUCCAUCUUAUGGAUCUUGCUUGAUUCAUUGAGAAAUAUGUAUCUUGUUCAUUAGGAGGGUCAGGAAGAGACCCUGAAGCAGGUCCCUGAGAAUUGGAAUAGUGCAAGAUAGCAACUCCAGCAGCUUUAGUCCAAGCAGAUGAAUUUACAUAUCUGGGACUGGCAACAAUAUAGUAAUCACUGCUAGCAUUUUGAUCCAUUGUAACCAAGAAUGAAUAUGACUGACCCACAUGAAUGUCCAUGUUUUCAUAGUUUUGCUGAACAGUGUAUGAUCCUUCAGUCUCUACAAGAAGCAAGUUAUGAUUUUGUAUUCUGAAAUUCAAGCUGGUUGAGAUACCAACAUUGUGCACCCGGAGACGAUAUGUCUUUCCAGGUUCAACAUUUAUUAUCUGAUAAGUAAUGCCUUCUUGGACAAGUGCCUCAUCAUAUCUGUAAGGACCAAACCCAUUAAUGAGGAUACCAUCAGGAACUCCUACGUCAUCUCCCUUUUCAACAUGUUUCCUUAGUUCCUUAUGACUCUUUGUAUGCCAGUCACUGAUAAAAAGAGUAAUAUCUCCGUCAGGCACAGCAAAUGGUAAAGGAAUGACGUCCCUAUUGUUUAUGAUAAUUCCUCCAUAUCCACCUGCUGCUCUCUGGAAGUUGAGGGAAGGGAAGUAAAAGAAACUUCCUAUCUGAUCUUUGACCUGAAACUGAUACGUCCAAUUCCAACCAGCAGGAAUCGGACAAUUAGUUCCCAAAACACCAUCUUGCCAGGAGUUUUUCCUAUUCUGUACGCCAUUCCAUGUAAUAAGCAGUGGCUCAUCAAGUUCAUUCUUGACAUUGACAAUCACGUUCCAAUUUGUAGUGACAUUAAGAAUAGGUCCAGGAAAUAGCCCAUUAAUACCAAUCACCUGCUGCUUAACUCCCAGAGAAUAUCCAGUAAGGUAAGAGACUGUCCAAUCAAAAAAGACAUAAGGGUCAUCUGCCAAAGAACCAGUAACCAGACACCCAACUAAGAGGAAGAAGAAGGAGACGCAUGAGAAAACAGAGGGCAUUGGAUCCCUUAUCUCUCCCUUAUCUUUCCCUUGUUUUCUAGAGAAAGAGGAAAGAAGUGAGAGUGGGAAAAUAAAAUCCAAUAAAGCCACAUGGGAUUCUGAAGAAGGCCAUGUUUGCAGACAGCUAGAAGGCUUCUGCAGCUGCCAGUUCCAGGGAGGGCCCCCCAAGUUUUCAGAAAUUUUUAGAAAACUGGAGCCGCAUUUCAGCCCCAGUCCCACCGCUUCUUCUUUCUAUUGUUAUUUGUUCACUAUGCUUG
rnacentral:misc_RNA from 1 species